rnacentral:rRNA from 1 species
AGCGAGACCCUUGAGGACUGACGCGGAGAAGGGUUUCGUGUGAACAGCUGUUGCACACGAGUCAGUCGAUCCUAAGCUCUAAGAGAAAUCAGAUGAAUGCGGGCCGGCGGUCCGCGAGCGAAAGGGAAUCCGGUUCCUAUUCCGGAACCCGGUAGCGGAACCGACUCACGUAGGGCCCCCCGGAGGGAAGCUCAUGUGGUAACACAAACGAACCCGGAGAAGCCGGCGGGAGGUCGGGGAAGAGUUUUCUUUUCUGUAUAAGCGUUCGAGUUCCCUGGAAUUCUCUAGCAGAGAGAUAGGGUUUGGAACGCGAAGAGCACCGCAGUUGCGGCGGUGUCCCGAUCGUCCCCUCGGACCGUGAAAAUCCGGGGGAGGGCUACGUGGAGUUUCGCGCCGGUUCGUACCCAUAUCCGCAGCAGGUCUCCAAGGUGAAGAGCCUCUAGUCGAUAGAAUAAUGUAGGUAAGGGAAGUCGGCAAAU